rnacentral:rRNA from 1 species
UUAAGCGACUAAGCGUACACGGUGGAUGCCCUGGCAGUCAGAGGCGAUGAAGGACGUGCUAAUCUGCGAUAAGCGUCGGUGAGGUGAUAUGAACCGUUAUAACCGGCGAUUUCCGAAUGGGGAAACCCAGUGUGUUUCGACACACUAUCAUUAACUGAAUCCAUAGGUUAAUGAGGCGAACCGGGGGAACUGAAACAUCUAAGUACCCCGAGGAAAAGAAAUCAACCGAGAUUCCCCCAGUAGCGGCGAGCGAACGGGGAGGAGCCCAGAGCCUGAAUCAGUGUGUGUGUUAGUGGAAGCGUCUGGAAAGGCGCGCGAUACAGGGUGACAGCCCCGUACACAAAAAUGCACAUACUGUGAGCUCGAUGAGUAGGGGCGGGACACGUGGUAUCCUGUCUGAAUAUGGGGGGACCAUCCUCCAAGGCUAAAUACUCCUGACUGACCGAUAGUGAACCAGUACCGUGAGGGAAAGGCGAAAAGAACCCCGGCGAGGGGAGUGAAAAAGAACCUGAAACCGUGUACGUACAAGCAGUGGGAGCCUCUUAAUGGGGUGACUGCGUACCUUUUGUAUAAUGGGUCAGCGACUUAUAUUCUGUAGCAAGGUUAACCGAAUAGGGGAGCCGAAGGGAAACCGAGUCUUAACUGGGCGUUAAGUUGCAGGGUAUAGACCCGAAACCCGGUGAUCUAGCCAUGGGCAGGUUGAAGGUUGGGUAACACUAACUGGAGGACCGAACCGACUAAUGUUGAAAAAUUAGCGGAUGACUUGUGGCUGGGGGUGAAAGGCCAAUCAAACCGGGAGAUAGCUGGUUCUCCCCGAAAGCUAUUUAGGUAGCGCCUCGUGAAUUCAUCUCCGGGGGUAGAGCACUGUUUCGGCAAGGGGGUCAUCCCGACUUACCAACCCGAUGCAAACUGCGAAUACCGGAGAAUGUUAUCACGGGAGACACACGGCGGGUGCUAACGUCCGUCGUGAAGAGGGAAACAACCCAGACCGCCAGCUAAGGUCCCAAAGUCAUGGUUAAGUGGGAAACGAUGUGGGAAGGCCCAGACAGCCAGGAUGUUGGCUUAGAAGCAGCCAUCAUUUAAAGAAAGCGUAAUAGCUCACUGGUCGAGUCGGCCUGCGCGGAAGAUGUAACGGGGCUAAACCAUGCACCGAAGCUGCGGCAGCGACACUAUGUGUUGUUGGGUAGGGGAGCGUUCUGUAAGCCUGUGAAGGUGGCCUGUGAGGGUUGCUGGAGGUAUCAGAAGUGCGAAUGCUGACAUAAGUAACGAUAAAGCGGGUGAAAAGCCCGCUCGCCGGAAGACCAAGGGUUCCUGUCCAACGUUAAUCGGGGCAGGGUGAGUCGACCCCUAAGGCGAGGCCGAAAGGCGUAGUCGAUGGGAAACAGGUUAAUAUUCCUGUACUUGGUGUUACUGCGAAGGGGGGACGGAGAAGGCUAUGUUGGCCGGGCGACGGUUGUCCCGGUUUAAGCGUGUAGGCUGGUUUUCCAGGCAAAUCCGGAAAACCAAGGCUGAGGCGUGAUGACGAGGCACUACGGUGCUGAAGCGACAAAUGCCCUGCUUCCAGGAAAAGCCUCUAAGCAUCAGGUAACAUCAAAUCGUACCCCAAACCGACACAGGUGGUCAGGUAGAGAAUACCAAGGCGCUUGAGAGAACUCGGGUGAAGGAACUAGGCAAAAUGGUGCCGUAACUUCGGGAGAAGGCACGCUGAUAUGUAGGUGAAGCGACUUGCUCGUGGAGCUGAAAUCAGUCGAAGAUACCAGCUGGCUGCAACUGUUUAUUAAAAACACAGCACUGUGCAAACACGAAAGUGGACGUAUACGGUGUGACGCCUGCCCGGUGCCGGAAGGUUAAUUGAUGGGGUUAGCGGCAACGCGAAGCUCUUGAUCGAAGCCCCGGUAAACGGCGGCCGUAACUAUAACGGUCCUAAGGUAGCGAAAUUCCUUGUCGGGUAAGUUCCGACCUGCACGAAUGGCGUAAUGAUGGCCAGGCUGUCUCCACCCGAGACUCAGUGAAAUUGAACUCGCUGUGAAGAUGCAGUGUACCCGCGGCAAGACGGAAAGACCCCGUGAACCUUUACUAUAGCUUGACACUGAACAUUGAGCCUUGAUGUGUAGGAUAGGUGGGAGGCUUUGAAGUGUGGACGCCAGUCUGCAUGGAGCCGACCUUGAAAUACCACCCUUUAAUGUUUGAUGUUCUAACGUUGGCCCGUAAUCCGGGUUGCGGACAGUGUCUGGUGGGUAGUUUGACUGGGGCGGUCUCCUCCUAAAGAGUAACGGAGGAGCACGAAGGUUGGCUAAUCCUGGUCGGACAUCAGGAGGUUAGUGCAAUGGCAUAAGCCAGCUUGACUGCGAGCGUGACGGCGCGAGCAGGUGCGAAAGCAGGUCAUAGUGAUCCGGUGGUUCUGAAUGGAAGGGCCAUCGCUCAACGGAUAAAAGGUACUCCGGGGAUAACAGGCUGAUACCGCCCAAGAGUUCAUAUCGACGGCGGUGUUUGGCACCUCGAUGUCGGCUCAUCACAUCCUGGGGCUGAAGUAGGUCCCAAGGGUAUGGCUGUUCGCCAUUUAAAGUGGUACGCGAGCUGGGUUUAGAACGUCGUGAGACAGUUCGGUCCCUAUCUGCCGUGGGCGCUGGAGAACUGAGGGGGGCUGCUCCUAGUACGAGAGGACCGGAGUGGACGCAUCACUGGUGUUCGGGUUGUCAUGCCAAUGGCACUGCCCGGUAGCUAAAUGCGGAAGAGAUAAGUGCUGAAAGCAUCUAAGCACGAAACUUGCCCCGAGAUGAGUUCUCCCUGAGACUUAGAGUCUCCUGAAGGAACGUUGAAGACGACGACGUUGAUAGGCCGGGUGUGUAAGCGCAGCGAUGCGUUGAGCUAACCGGUACUAAUGAACCGUGAGGCUUAACCUU